rnacentral:rRNA from 1 species
CACGUAUCAAGCAGGUAAAGGAGGGACUAUAAAGUCUAGUAGUAGAGAGGGAAUAGAGCGGGAUAACGCAGCACAACCCUAUAUACUACUCAUAUCUCCCCCCUUUACAAGUACCCGUGAGGGAAAGUUGAAAAGCACUUUGAAAAGAGAGUGCAAGAGAACGUGAAACCGAUAUAAUGGAAGCGGAUGGAGCCGACGUAUCUUGCACGUAUUCAAUCCCGCGACAUUGCAAUCGCUCCGUUGACAUUCCGCAAGGUUGUCCUCGGAGUGUUGUUGUUGUGUUCGUUGGGUGCAUUUGCGUGCGGAGUGCGCCGAGUGGAUCGAUGUCGCUGCCGGAUGGGCGUAUAGAGGACUCGUUUACGAGAAUCCUGUACGUUCGGAUAGCAGGUGAUGUUGGUUCGCUUUGUGGAGUGCGGGUGAAUUCGCGAUGGGAGUUGGUUGUGAGUUGUUGUUUCGGAUGGCACAUGUGUCUUUCGUUUCAGCGGCCUACGAUCGGCUUCCGUUGCCCCGGCACUCGACUCGGUGUGUAGUCGGUCACCCAUUCGACCCGUCUUGAAACACGGACCAAGGAGUUUAAGGUGUACGCGAGUCAUUGAGCAGCAACGAAACUCAAAGGCGCAAUGAAAGUGAGACAUUUGAUGUCGACGAUGUGAGCGUUGGGCGUUUCGACGUCCGGCGCGCAACAUCGCCCCGUGACCAGGACUUGUUCUGUUGCGGCGGUUGAGCGUACGCUUUGAGACCCGAAAGAUGGUGAACUAUGCCCGAACAGGAUGAAGCCAGAGGAAACUCUGGUGGCAUUCUACUACUACUACGACGAGGAAAUAGUAGUAGCUGGUCCUUCCUGACUACAAGUAGCCGAUGAAAGGGG